AGACAAGGGACCCGUCCAGCCCGAUGCCGCCGGCCGCUCAGUGCCAAACUCGCGAGGCAACUCGAGUCAAUUCACUCGUGCCGCGUUGACUUGGCCCGGGAUGGAGACGUCCCUGCAGGAGAUGAGAGCAGAGGGGAGGAUCUCAUCUCAGACGGUGGAACUACCUCACCUCACAAGUCUGCAUCGCUGUCGCCGUCGCCCUGCACGCGCACCCUGCACGCGGAUGGAUCACUACCUCUAGCAUAUAUAGAGAUGAUAUGGUCUUGGAAGAAGAAGGCGUGAUGGAGAGUACCAUGGUGCCACGGAUCCGUGACGUGGCGCAAAGAUGAUGCUAGCUACCAAGGCAACCAAUGGAUGGAACUGGGGGAGGGAAGAGGAGGAGGAGGCAGCCAAUAAAUGUAACGGGAGGAGGCGGAGUGACAUUAGGGGGUGCGUUUAAUUAAGGUUGCCCGAUUCCGAUGAGGAGGGAUGCGUACGAAACAAUUAAUGUAGGAAGGCUCGUUAAGUUUCGGGCUAGUACUAACAAAUAACAAAUCAGUUGGUGGUUUCCAUUUGUUGUGAAUGAAUCACGUUUGUUAGAUGGAAGCG